rnacentral:rRNA from 1 species
UACGAAGGGGGCUAGCGUUGUUCGGAAUUACUGGGCGUAAAGGGCGCGUAGGCGGCGUGUCAAGUCAGGCGUGAAAGCCCCGGGCUCAACCUGGGAACCGCGCUUGAGACUGGCAUGCUCGAGUUCGGGAGAGGAUGGUGGAAUUCCCAGUGUAGAGGUGAAAUUCGUAGAUAUUGGGAAGAACACCGGUGGCGAAGGCGGGCGCUCUGGGCCGAGACGUG